AGUGAACGCUGGCGGUAGGCCUAACACAUGCAAGUCGAACGGCAGCACAGGAGAGCUUGCUCUCUGGGUGGCGAGUGGCGGACGGGUGAGGAAUGCAUCGGAAUCUACUCUUUCGUGGGGGAUAACGUAGGGAAACUUACGCUAAUACCGCAUACGACCUACGGGUGAAAGCCGGGGACCUUCGGGCCUGGCGCGAAUGAAUGAGCCGAUGCCCGAUUAGCUAGUUGGCGGGGUAAGAGCCCACCAAGGCGACGAUCGGUAGCUGGUCUGAGAGGAUGAUCAGCCACACUGGAACUGAGACACGGUCCAGACUCCUACGGGAGGCAGCAGUGGGGAAUAUUGGACAAUGGGCGCAAGCCUGAUCCAGCCAUACCGCGUGGGUGAAGAAGGCCUUCGGGUUGUAAAGCCCUUUUGUUGGGAAAGAAAAGCAGCUGGUUAAUACCCGGUUGUUCUGACGGUACCCAAAGAAUAAGCACCGGCUAACUUCGUG
rnacentral:rRNA from 1 species